ACGUAGGGGGCAAGCGUUGUCCGGAUUUAUUGGGCGUAAAGCGCGUGUAGGCGGCCAGAUAGGUCUGAUGUGAAAACUGGAGGCUCAACCUCCAGCUGUCAUCAGAAACCAUUUGGCUAGAGUCCGGAAGAGGAGAGUGGAAUUCCUGGUGUAGCGGUGAAAUGCGCAGAUAUCAGGAAGAACACCUAUGGCGAAGGCAGCUCUCUGGGACGGUACUGACGCUGAGACGCGAAAGCGUGGGGAGCGAACAG
rnacentral:rRNA from 1 species